GUUAGGAAUAUUGGUCAAUGGACGAAAGUCUGAACCAGCCAUGCCGCGUGGAGGAUGAAGGUCCUCUGGAUUGUAAACUUCUUUUAUAUGGGACGAAAAUGGGGCUUUCUAGCUCAACUGACGGUACCAUAUGAAUAAGCACCGGCUAACUCCGUGCCAGCAGCCGCGGUAAUACGGAGGGUGCAAGCGUUAUCCGGAUUCACUGGGUUUAAAGGGUGCGUAGGUGGAUUGGUAAGUCAGAGGUGAAAUCUCCGGGCUCAACUCGGAAACUGCCUUUGAUACUAUCAAUCUUGAAUAUUGUGGAGGUUAGCGGAAUAUGUCAUGUAGCGGUGAAAUGCUUAGAUAUGACAUAGAACACCAAUUGCGAAGGCAGCUGGCUACACAUAUAUUGACACUGAGGCACGAAAGCGUGGGGAUCAAACAGGAUUAGAAACCCUAGUAGUCC
rnacentral:rRNA from 1 species